rnacentral:rRNA from 1 species
GUGAACGCUGGCGGUAGGCCUAACACAUGCAAGUCGAACGGCAGCACAGUAAGAGCUUGCUCUUACGGGUGGCGAGUGGCGGACGGGUGAGGAAUACAUCGGAAUCUACUUUUUCGUGGGGGAUAACGUAGGGAAACUUACGCUAAUACCGCAUACGACCUACGGGUGAAAGCAGGGGAUCUUCGGACCUUGCGCGAUUGAAUGAGCCGAUGUCGGAUUAGCUAGUUGGCGGGGUAAAGGCCCACCAAGGCGACGAUCCGUAGCUGGUCUGAGAGGAUGAUCAGCCACACUGGAACUGAGAAACGGUCCAGACUCCUACGGGAGGCAGCAGUGGGGAAUAUUGGACAAUGGGCGCAAGCCUGAUCCAGCCAUACCGCGUGGGUGAAGAAGGCCUUCGGGUUGUAAAGCCCUUUUGUUGGGAAAGAAAAGCAGCAGGUUAAUACCCCGCUGUUCUGACGGUACCCAAAGAAUAAGCACCGGCUAACUUCGUG